GUCACCCCCUCUGCCUGCUGCAAUACAGCAGUAUUGCUACUUACCCGUAACUCAUGGGAGGGUGGGGAGGGCACACCUGAGAGGGAAGUCUGGGCUCAGGCCUCUCCCCCGACUCACUGUGGGUCUAAUCUGUCACCAGAUGCAAUCUGGCACUUUGGCGACAACCAGCUUUAUGUUUCGGGCCCCAAUGGCACAGCCGGCAUCUUUGCUACCUACCCCUCUGGACACUUGGAUAUGAUCAAUGGCUUCUUUGACCAGUUCAUAGGCACAGCCUCCCUUAUCGUGUGUGUGCUGGCCAUUGUUGACCCCUACAACAACCCCGUCCCCCGAGGCCUGGAGGCCUUCACCGUGGGCCUGGUGGUCCUGGUCAUUGGCACCUCCAUGGGCUUCAACUCCGGCUAUGCCGUCAACCCUGCCCGGGACUUUGGCCCCCGCCUUUUUACAGCCCUUGCGGGCUGGGGCUCUGCAGUCUUCACGACCGGCCAGCAUUGGUGGUGGGUGCCCAUCGUGUCCCCACUCCUGGGCUCCAUUGCGGGUGUCUUCGUGUACCAGCUGAUGAUCGGCUGCCACCUGGAGCAGCCCCCACCCUCCAACGAGGAAGAGAAUGUGAAGCUGGCCCAUGUGAAGCACAAGGAGCAGAUCUGAGUGGGCAGGGGACAUCUCCCCACUCUGCUGCCCUGGCCUUGAGCAUCCACAGACUGUCCAAGGGCCACUCCCAAGAAGCCCCCUUCACGAUCCACCCUUUCAGGCUAAGGAGCUCCCUAUCUACCCUCACCCCACGAGACAGCCCCUUCAGGAUUUCCACUGGACCUUGCCCAAAUAGCACCUUAGGCCACUGCCCCUAAGCUGGGGUGGAACCGGAAUUUGGGUCAAUACAUCCUUUUGUCUCCCAAGGGAAGAGAAUGGGCAGCAGGUAUGUGUGUGUGUGCAUAUGUGUGCAGGGGUGUGUGUGUGUGUGUGUGUGUGUGUGUGGUUUCCCAGAUAUUCAGGGCAAGGGACCAGUCGGAAGGGAUUCCGGCUAUUGGGGGAGCCCAAAGACAGGGGAAGGCAGCCUGUCCAUCUGUGCAUAAGGAGAGGAAAGUUCCAGGGUGUGUAUGUUUCAAGGGCUUCACAUGGAGGAGCUGCAGAUAGAUACGUGUUUCUGUGUAUGUGUAUGUCUGCCUUUUUUUCUAAGUGGGGGCUUCUAUAGGCUUUUGGGAAGUAGGGUGGAUGUGGGUAGGGCUGGGAGGAGGGGGCCACAGCUUAGGUUUGGAGCUCUGGAUGUACAUACAUAAGUAGGAGCAGUGGGAAGUGUUUCUGUCAUAAUGCAGGCAUGAAGGGUGGAGUGAAGUCAGGUCAUAAGUUUCAUGUUUGCUUUUGUUUUGUUUUGUUUUUAAUGUACGUAGCAGAUGUUACAGUCUUAGGGAUCCGGGAUGGGAGACCCCACUUUAGAAAGGGUCGUCACUCCUUUAAUCCUCUACUCAACAAUGUACUCUUUUAUCUUUUAUAUUAAAAAAA
rnacentral:sRNA from 1 species